AGGACGAACGCUGGCGGCGUGCUUAACACAUGCAAGUCGAGCGGUAAGGCCCUUUGGGGUACACGAGCGGCGAACGGGUGAGUAACACGUGGGUGACCUGCCCCCUACUCUGGGAUAAGCCUGGGAAACUGGGUCUAAUACCGGAUAUGACUACAUGUCGCAUGGUGUGUGGUGGAAAGUUUUUUCGGUGGGGGAUGGGCCCGCGGCCUAUCAGCUUGUUGGUGGGGUGAUGGCCUACCAAGGCGACGACGGGUA
rnacentral:rRNA from 1 species